rnacentral:rRNA from 1 species
UACGUAGGGUGCGAGCGUUGUCCGGAAUUACUGGGCGUAAAGAGCUCGUAGGUGGUUUGUCGCGUUGUUCGUGAAAACCUGAGGCUUAACCUUGGGCGUGCGGGCGAUACGGGCAGACUGGAGUACUGCAGGGGAGACUGGAAUUCCUGGUGUAGCGGUGGAAUGCGCAGAUAUCAGGAGGAACACCGGUGGCGAAGGCGGGUCUCUGGGCAGUAACUGACGCUGAGACGCGAAAGCGUGGGGAGCAAACAGG